rnacentral:lncRNA from 1 species
CUCCCAAAAGUGUUAGGAUUACAGGCAUGAGCCAUUGUGCCCGGCCGGUAAGGAUAUACUUCUACCACCAAGAACUUAAAGAGUGGCACACCAAUGAAACAAAUUUUCAUUGAGAAACGAGCACUCUACCAGGCCCUGGAAGACUGGUUAAAGCAGAGGCUGAAUGAACACCUGUCGGGAAUGCUGGAUUUCUGAAUGCUAAGAAUGGCAUAAGAAUGCUAACCUAGGCCAGGUGCAGUGGCUCAUGCCUGUAAUCUCAACACUUUGGGAGGCCAAAGUGGACGAAUCUCCUGAGGUCAGGAGUUUGAGACCAGCCUGGGCAACAUGAUGAAACCUGGUCUCUACUAAAAAUACAGAAAAUUAGCCAGGUGCGGUGGUGGUUGCCUGUAAUACCAGCUACUUGGGAGGCUUAGGCAGGAGAAUCACUUGAACCUGGGAGGCAGAGGUUGCAGUGAGCUGAGAUUGCGCCAUUGUACUCCAGCCUGGGCAACAAAAGCAAACCUCCAUCUCAAAAAAAAAAAAAGGAUGUUACCUAAGGUUCCAUUGUAAGAUAAUUUUUCAAGCAGGUUAAGUAUCCAGGAGUUUAGUUUCACAAGCCGUUUGUCCAAUUUUUUAAAAAAGAUAAAACCCAAUCCUGUAAAAACCUUUAUUCCUUUGUCCAAGGUUAUAAUUAUGCAGGUAAGUCUGAGUGAAUUGAAGCAGCUGACUCUAGUAGGAAAAAGAAAUGUUAACAAGUUCCAGCAUCACCUACUUUGAACUAUAUUCUUAAAAAGUCUAAAGCUUCUGGAUUUGAAAAGCAAAUUACCAUAAAUAAUCUUAAAGGGCAUCUUUCGAAAUAUUAGUUGCUUUAACCAAGCUAUUCCUUAGCAUAAUUCUGUACAACUUAUUUAUAUUAAUACAUUCCUUGGGAGUUAAAUGUAAAAAAAUUACAUCCCCACCAUCACUGUUUAAUACUUUUUCAUUUUCUAAAACAGCACAGACUCCUGCUACAUGAGCAAGCUUUCAGCAUUUGAAGAUAGCUGCCAUGGAUCAUCUAUAGAUUGCAAUGUGUUCUUUCUACCGUCCUUUUAAAAACUGAGGAAACUUUUGCUUACUAUCUUUCCUGUUCACAAUGUAAAAAGAAGUUCAAUGUAACUCAAAGUGUAGUGAGACCCUGUCUCUAAAAAAUUAAAAUUAAAAUAUUUUUAGAACAGUAUUGAGGAGAAUGCAAUGAAAUUUCCAAUAAUGUACAAUGGUUCUAAUAAUAAGAAUUAUCUGUGUUCUCUUAAGACCAUUCACAUAUCUUGCUAAUGCUACCCAGCUUUUUUUUUUUUGAGAUGGAGUAUCACUCUGUCGCCCAGGCUAAAGUACAGUG